UGCCCAGCAACUCCUAUCUCUACCUCCUCGUGGAACCGGCCGGAAACUAUGAGCAACCUUAGGGAAGCUUGGGUAACCAACCGCGUAGGCUGACAGGGAAGG
rfam:Aedes albopictus isolate Foshan contig36444, whole genome shotgun sequence.